UACGGAGGGUGCAAGCGUUGCUCGGAAUUAUUGGGCGUAAAGGGUAGGUAGGUGGUCUCAUUUGUCUGGGGUGAAAGCCUUGAGCUUAACUCAAGAAGUGCCCCAGAAACGGUGAGACUAGAGUCUUGGAGAGGGUCGUGGAAUUCCCGGUGUAGCGGUGAAAUGCGUAGAUAUCGAGAAGAACACCGGUGGCGAAGGCGGCCAUCUGGACGGUGGCUGACGCUGAGGCGCGACAGCGUGGGAGCAAACAGG
rnacentral:rRNA from 1 species